UGUGGGCUUGUGGGACUGAGUAAGACUGC
rnacentral:piRNA from 1 species